rnacentral:lncRNA from 1 species
AUUUUCCUAUGGAGGACUUUUUAAUUUGUAAAAAGUCAAAACUAUCAACUUUUUCCUUCAUGCUUUGUGAAUUUUGUUUUAAGCUCAGAAAGGCCUUCCGUACACCAAGAUUAUUAAAAUCUCACCACUAGUAAUUAAAAAUGCAAAUAAAAUGAGAUUUAAUUUUUUACCUAUCAAAUCCAUUUAUUCAUCUCUUUAGAAAACAUUUUUCAAGUGUCCAUUAUGUGACAAGCAUUGCACUGAGAGCUGGGAAUACAGGAUUAUAGAAAACAGGAAAAAAAAAUCUCUGCCCUUGUGACAUUUACUUUCUAUUGGAUCAAGAUAAGAAAUACGAUGAGUAAGUAAACUGCAUGAUGUAUUAAGGAACAAGUUCUAUGAGGUGAAAUAAAGCUAGAAAGGAAUAGGAAUGCUGGAAGGUGGGACAGGUAGCAAUUUAAAUAGCAUGAUCAGGACAGGUCUAGUUGAAUGAGCCAUGCUGAUAAUCUGGGAGGCAGUGAUCUGGGCCAAGCCACUUGGUAUGCUACAGGAACAGCGAGGAGGCCCAUGUGGCCAGAGGGGUGUGGGAAACAAGAGUAAGUGUGGAAAUAGUUUAGAGUACAAGCAGUAAGCAUAAGUGGAGGAGGAAGCAUAGGUGGAGGAGUAAUCACCUAGACCAUCAGCUACGGCCUGUGGGCCACUGUAGGGAUUCAGGCUCUUACUCCAAAUGACGUGGGGUAGCUCUGGAGGGUCUUGACUACAGAUAUUAUCUUACAAUCUUACAGAAUCAUUCUGGCUUCCCUGCUGAGAAUAGAUUCUUCUGGAAGUAGGUCAAUGUGAGGGGAUUAGUGCAAUAAUCCAGGUGAGAGAUGAAGGCGGCAUAGCUCUGUGGUAACAGGGAAUUGGAAGUGAAUGAUACUAGGAAUCCAAGUUGAGAUGGCAGAUAGCGAGAGCAACAAGGCAGAUUUCCAAAGCACUUUUCCAUCUGUGAGCUGGAGAUGUACAUUUACAAAUCCCCUUCUCUCUUUUCACAUAACUAUUCCUUUUAACCCAGAACCAAGAGUUGCGCGUGACUCAGGCUGCAAGCGGGACGACUCAGAAACAGAUGUAAGACAAGUGAGACAAACACCAUCUUCCCCAAGUAUUCCAGAGGAUGAGGACCUUUUAUCUUUUGCCUCUGGUGCUAACAGGUACGACGUCUCAGCUUCCCGAUUCCAAGUUCCUGAAGGAUGAGUUUGCUUGGUCUCUCUGAUCUCGUGGUGCUGCACCACUUGUGUCUUGUUUCCUGGCCAGCCUAAGAAUGGCUGCCUUGACUCAGGUCUAAUCAGCUUUACACAAGAAAGGUGGGGUUUUGGUACAGAACACAGCUGUGCUCACUGAUAUGGUUUGGCUGUGUCCCCACCUGAAUUUAUCUCGAAUUGUAAUCUGAAUUGUAAUCCCCACGUGUCAGGGGAGGGACCUGGUGGGAUGUGAUUGGAUCAUGGGGGCGGUUUCCUCC